rnacentral:tRNA from 1 species
GGGGAUAUAGCUCAGAGGUAGAAUACUUGCCUAGUAUGCGGGAGGCCCUGGGUUCAAUACCCAGUACCA